UAGGGAAUCUUCGGCAAUGGGGGGAACCCUGACCGAGCAACGCCGCGUGAGUGAAGAAGGUUUUCGGAUCGUAAAGCUCUGUUGUUAAGGAAGAACGAGUGUGAGAAUGGAAAGUUCAUGCUGUGACGGUACUUAACCAGAAAGGGACGGCUAACUACGUGCCAGCAGCCGCGGUAAUACGUAGGUCCCGAGCGUUGUCCGGAUUUAUUGGGCGUAAAGCGAGCGCAGGCGGUUAGAAAAGUCUGAAGUGAAAGGCAGUGGCUCAACCAUUGUAGGCUUUGGAAACUGUUUAUCUUGAGUGCAGAAGGGGAGAGUGGAAUUCCAUGUGUAGCGGUGAAAUGCGUAGAUAUAUGGAGGAACACCGGUGGCGAAAGCGGCUCUCUGGUCUGUAACUGACGCUGAGGCUCGAAAGCGUGGGGAGCGAACAGG
rnacentral:rRNA from 1 species